AUGCAGAGCCAGCCCCUCAGCCCUCUCCCUGUCCCACAGCCCAGGGGCGGGAGCUGGGGUGCUGCUGGUAGAGGGUGGGGGGGGCCAGGACUGAGACUGAGGAGAUCUUGGCCCACAGGGGCUCCCCUGGGGCCACUGCCCAGGAGACAGGGGAGGAGACUAGACUAGGGCCCCCAAACCUGCCACUCGCCAGAAAGGACUUUCCAAAUGGAAAAAGCUGCAAGGACUGGUAGGAGUGGAGGGGGAGGGGCUGUGGGAGGCCAGGCCCCUCGGUCCCAGGCUAGGCUCUAGAAAGAAGUGGGUGGGCAGUCUGAGUCCUCCCACAUUUUGCCUCAGUUUGACCAUCUAUGCAAAGGAAUCGUGUAGGCAGGAGAAGAAAAACGGAGUAAUACACAGCGAGCCCUCCAACCCCAGCAGAAAGGACAUGUGUUAUGUGCUCAGGGUUUGGGGUUUUGGGGCUUCUACUUCCUUGGGGGGUUCCUUGCAAUCUCCACCUGUUGUGAUUCUGGAGGCUGAAGAAGCUACUACAGGGGAAGCAGAGCUGUCGUUGUCAGGAAGUUCUCCCUGCAAUCUGCCCUCAAGGCUUCCCACUGUAGUGCUCUGGCCCUGGGCUCACCUGAGAUUGCUGGGGAAAAGAAAGGGUCAACUGGGAGGUUUAGACACGUGGAGAGGGAGUGUGCCUGGCUCUAACAGUUGGAACUGGGAUCAGAGGUGGAGCUGAGGAGGCCGGUCCAAGGAGAAUGCAACACUAAGAGGUGCCCUGGGUUAAGUUCCUGGUGAGAGGAGAGAUGAAAUGGGAAAGGACGUCUCUGUCUGGAGG
ensembl:lincRNA